rnacentral:sRNA from 1 species
UUGCGUUAGGGAUUGCAGUGUAAAUCCUUUUUUAAGGUACGAGAAAAAGAUUGCAACGUAAAGCCCGACCCCGA